UACGAAGGGGGCUAGCGUUGUUCGGAAUUACUGGGCGUAAAGCGCGCGCAGGCGGUCUUCCAAGUCAGUGGUGAAAGCCCGGAGCUCAACUCCGGAAUUGCCAUUGAAACUGUGAGACUGGAGUACGAGAGAGGUGAGUGGAAUUCCCAGUGUAGAGGUGAAAUUCGUAGAUAUUGGGAAGAACACCGGUGGCGAAGGCGGCGAGCUGGUCCAUUACUGACGCUGAGGCGCGACAGCGUGGGGAGCAAACAGG
rnacentral:rRNA from 1 species